rnacentral:rRNA from 1 species
UACAGGGGGGGCAAGCGUUGUUCGGAAUUACUGGGCGUAAAGGGCCAGUAGGCGGCCAACUAAGUCACACGUGAAAUCCCCAGGCUUAACCGGGGAACUGCGUCUGAUACUGGAUGGCUUGAGGUUGGGAGAGGGAUGCGGAAUUCCAGGUGUAGCGGUGAAAUGCGUAGAUAUCUGGAGGAACACCGGUGGCGAAGGCGGCAUCCUGGACCAAUUCUGACGCUGAGGAGCGAAAGCCAGGGGAGCAAACGGG